UACGUAGGGUGCGAGCGUUGUCCGGAAUUAUUGGGCGUAAAGGGCUCGUAGGCGGUCUGUUACGUCGGGAGUGAAAACUCAGGGCCUAACCCUGAGCCUGCUUCCGAUACGGGCAGACUAGAGGUAUGCAGGGGAGAACGGAAUUCCUGGUGUAGCGGUGAAAUGCGCAGAUAUCAGGAGGAACACCGGUGGCGAAGGCGGGUCUCUGGGCCGUAACUGACGCUGAGGAGCGAAAGCAUGGGGAGCGAACAGG
rnacentral:rRNA from 1 species